AUUGAAUCCUCUCUGAAUCACUCUGGAGGGAGCUCGCAUGGGAGGCGACGGAGCUUAUGGCGGGAAGUCCCGAGGCUGCACCUUGUUAUUCUCUUUUGGAUAAAAAGUUCUUGUCACUUGAGAUAUGGAACAAGUGUGCCAUUGGUCUAGUUGCUACAUGUGCCGAGUCUUAUUAUCCCAGGAAGUUCUUGAUUGGGGUUUUUUUUUGUUCUUGGGGACUUCCUUCUCAAUGCUUUUAAUUGUACUUGGUGGCAAGUUGCUGUUCCCAUGCCACUGAGGGACAGCACGAUGCAACUUCUUUCUAAAGGUGGAUUUGGGUCUAUCCUUCACAAUUCUAUUAUUUCAGGACUGAAUUCUUCAAGACGCAAUCAGUAUCCAAUUCUCCUCUUGCUCUCCUUGCAGUUGGCAGUAUAGUUGCUAUUAGUAUAAUUCCUUUUAGAAAAUUUAUUGGUUACAAAGGACAUAAUUAAGAUAGCAGAUUUUGGGCUUGCUCAUGAAGUGUGUUCAAAACCUCCUUAUACAGAAUAUGUUUCUACACGCUGGUAUUGAGUGCCUGAAGUGUUGCUACAGUCCUCUGUGCGUGAUUGUGCAGUUGAUGUGAGGACAAUGGGUGCGAUCAUGGCCGAGAUGUUCACUCUCUGCCCUCUUGUUUGAGGUUCAAGUGAGGCUGAUGAAAUGUAUAAAAUCUGUACUGUAAUUGGUACUCCCAAUCAAAAUUCUUGGGCAGCAGGACUGCAGCUUGCUGAUACUAUCAACUUUCAGUUUCCACAGUGCUUGUGCUCUUGGGAUCCCUGUAGGAGGCCAAAUGCUAUGGAGGCUUUUCAUAUUUUCUUUCAGGGUCUUUAUCAAAUAUGAAACCUGCCACCAAUUUCUCAACUGCAAAGACAAAUGCUUCUUUGAGAACCGGUGAUACUUUUCUUUACAAACCGAAGACACUUAUCUUUAAGUUAUAUAUAUAUAUAUAUAUAUUAAAAAAAGUGACACAAUCUGUGGUAGCUGAGUGGUGCUUGCAGUUUGCCGACACUUUUCAUUAUUGCAGGUGUGCAAAGCAAGCUAAUUGGUUAUCAGGUUAGAACAUCAACCUUAGCUCUUGUUAUGGUUGAUUGCCCUUUUCUUUACCUACCACAGCUUCAGAACUCAGACCAAAGUGCAUGACUAAUGAAGAAUGGCCAGAAGCAUAAUCUGUAUAAACCACCUAGAAGAAAAAACCCAGGCUAGUGGGCUGGUUUAAUUGAUGCUAUGUGAUUGUGUUAUGUCAUCUUUCAUCCUUGAUUAACUUCAUAUCUUACUGCAGCGGGACAUACAGGAGGGAAAAUGCAGUGUCACAGAUGCAACUGCAAAACUGGGUAACAAGAUUGUGAGUUCUGCCAAGAUAGCAGGUAAUAUUUUUAUCAAAAAAAAAAAAGAUAGCAGGUAAUAUGCAGGUUUUGCCCACCUUGUGUGAGGCCACCGCCUCCUGUGAAGGCUGGUGCCUGGCAUGGUAGCACCAAAAUCUCUUCUGGGAGAGGCUAGGCUACUCCCGGAAAGUUGUCAGCAAAUAUAAUUAAGGUUCAACUGCAAACUUUACUGGGUCAUGUAGUUAUGGUUGUCAGCUAACAUAAAUAUCAUUUGCCUACAUACA